UACAUGUGGGGCAAGCGUUGUUCGGAAUUACUGAGCAUAAAGGGAGCGUAGGCGGACUUAUAAGUCAGUGGUGAAAGCCGAUAGCUUAACUAUCGAAUUGCCAUUGAUACUGUAGGUCUAGAGUACAGAUGAUGUUGGCGGAAUAUGACAUGUAGCGGUGAAAUGCAUAGAUAUGUCAUAGAACACCGAUUGCGAAGGCAGCUGACAAAACUGUAACUGACGCUGAGGCUCGAAAGUGCGGGGAUCAAACAGG
rnacentral:rRNA from 1 species